AUGGCGACCGGCGCACGGGUGAGUAACACGUAUCCAACCUGCCGAUGACUCGGGGAUAGCCUUUCGAAAGAAAGAUUAAUACCCGAUGGCAUAGUUCUUCCGCAUGGUAGAACUAUUAAAGAAUUUCGGUCAUCGAUGGGGAUGCGUUCCAUUAGGUUGUUGGCGGGGUAACGGCCCACCAAGGCGACGAUACAUAGGGGGACUGAGAGGUUAACCCCCCACACUGGUACUGAGACACGGACCAG
rnacentral:rRNA from 1 species